rnacentral:lncRNA from 1 species
UUCCUGGCAUCUCCCGUCAAUAAAUGAACACACUGCCAAGUUGACCUGAAGCAAACUGAUCUUGUCCAGACAAGAGAGUUUCAGGAUCCCUUAAAAAGCCUCCUGUGUCGAUCCCGUGAGCAUUCCAGAAUAAAUUCCCUGCAUGCUAAUCCCCAUCUCAGAGUCUGUUUCCAGGAAGACCCAAACUGCAAUAUUCCCUUCCCCUCCAACUCCCAUAAUGUACCGUGUAACUUGAAUAUGCCAACGAAUAAAAUCCUGUGAUGCU